AGAGUUUGAUCCUGGCUCAGGACGAACGCUGGCGGCGUGCUUAACACAUGCAAGUCGAACGGUGAAGUCCCUUCGGGGGCGGAUCAGUGGCGAACGGGUGAGUAACACGUGGGCAAUCUGCCCCUCACUGUGGGAUAACUCCGGGAAACCGGGGCUAAUACCGCAUAUGAAGCCUGGCGGCAUCGCCGGGUUUGGAAGGUUUUUCGGUGAGGGAUGAGCCCGCGGCCUAUCAGCUUGUUGGUGAGGUAAUGGCUCACCAAGGCGACGACGGGUAGCCGGCCUGAGAGGGCGACCGGCCACACUGGGACUGAGACACGGCCCAGACUCCUACGGGAGGCAGCAGUGGGGAAUAUUGGGCAAUGGGCGAAAGCCUGACCCAGCGACG
rnacentral:rRNA from 1 species